AUACAUAUACAUAUACAUAUACAUAUAUAUAUAUAUUUUUUUUUUUUUAACUCAUAAUUUUGCAGUAACAAUUUCCACUUUUAUGAAAAAGAAAUCAGAAAAUGGCUACGAUAGUUCCAUUUUAAAUAUUUACCAAAAGUUUUUGAAAGGAAUAUGCAAAAUUUCUAUGUGGUUAGUUGGAGUUAAUAGGGUUGAAGACCACUAUUUGUGUGAUAAAGAAUGGCCUAAAAACAUUGUAUCGAACCAUGUAUCUGCUUUAGAUCCUUUUUAUUUUAUAAGCCAACACGCUUGUAGUUUUGUUGCCAAAAAAUCAUUACGUAAAGAUUUUAUUGUUGGUUUGAGUGUCUUAGCUUUAAAAUGUGUAUUUGUUUAUAGAGAGAAAUCAGAAGAUAGACAAGCAGCAAUUGAAAGUAUAAAAGCAAGGCAAUUAUUAGUAAAUGAAAAAAAUAGUAGUUAUCCAUCAUUUGUUAUUUUUUUCUGAAGGAACAACAUCAAACGGAGUGCAACUUAUUGAACAAAAAAAAGGUGCAUUUUUUUCGCUAUCCCCAAUCACACCAGUCUUAUUAAUUUAUGAUUAUAAAUUUUUUAACCCAGCGUAUGAUGUUAUUCCGUUUAUAUGGUGGUGUAUUUUAAUUAGUGCAAAUUAUGCCAGUAUUACAUUACGAACCUAUUGGUUGCCAAAGGUAUAUCCGCCGGAUGAGAAGAAACAUGCAAAUUUGAGUGAAUCGGAAAAAAUAAAUAUUUUUCAUGAUAAAGUGUCAAAAAUAAUGUUUCAAAAUAUGAAAUUAUAUAAUCCUAAAGCUCCUAAAGAUGUUGAUGAUUAUAAUGAUUGGCCAGGGUCAUUACGAGUAAAACUCGAGUUUUUUCAAGCUUCUUUAGGUAAAAUAGCAGUUAAAUAUUUAAAUAAAGAAAAAAAGAAGAGUGAAAAAAAUUAAUUUUAUUAAACUUAUAACAUAAGCGCACAUAAGUAUAGGAUAAUGAAUACAUACAUAAAAUGUUUUCUUUUUCUUACAAUAUUAUAUUUAUUCAAUAUAAAAAUUCAACUUAUUUAUUAUUAUAUUAUAUACAAAUUAUAGUUUACAUAAAUUUCAUUAGUUUCAAAAGUAAAAAAAAAAAAAAAGGAAGAAGAGUGGAAAUAACAGUAAAAAUGGAAAUGAUAAUGGAAUUCAAAUAAAUAUCUAUUUUAUAUAAUGGUUUAAUAUAUU
rnacentral:lncRNA from 1 species